rnacentral:rRNA from 1 species
UGCAGUCGACGAUGAACCACUUCGGUGGGGAUUAGUGGCGAACGGGUGAGUAACACGUGGGCAAUCUGCCCUUCACUCUGGGACAAGCCCUGGAAACGGGGUCUAAUACCGGAUAUGAGCCUGGGAGGCAUCUCCCGGGUUGUAAAGCUCCGGCGGUGAAGGAUGAGCCCGCGGCCUAUCAGCUUGUUGGUGAGGUAAUGGCUCACCAAGGCGACGACGGGUAGCCGGCCUGAGAGGGCGACCGGCCACACUGGGACUGAGACACGGCCCAGACUCCUACGGGAGGCAGCAGUGGGGAAUAUUGCACAAUGGGCGAAAGCCUGAUGCAGCGACGCCGCGUGAGGGAUGACGGCCUUCGGGUUGUAAACCUCUUUCAGCAGGGAAGAAGCGAGAGUGACGGUACCUGCAGAAGAAGCGCCGGCUAACUACGUGCCAGCAGCCGCGGUAAUACGUAGGGCGCAAGCGUUGUCCGGAAUUAUUGGGCGUAAAGAGCUCGUAGGCGGCUUGUCACGUCGAUUGUGAAAGCCCGAGGCUUAACCUCGGGUCUGCAGUCGAUACGGGCUAGCUAGAGUGUGGUAGGGGAGAUCGGAAUUCCUGGUGUAGCGGUGAAAUGCGCAGAUAUCAGGAGGAACACCGGUGGCGAAGGCGGAUCUCUGGGCCAUUACUGACGCUGAGGAGCGAAAGCGUGGGGAGCGAACAGGAUUAGAUACCCUGGUAGUCCACGCCGUAAACGGUGGGAACUAGGUGUUGGCGACAUUCCACGUCGUCGGUGCCGCAGCUAACGCAUUAAGUUCCCCGCCUGGGGAGUACGGCCGCAAGGCUAAAACUCAAAGGAAUUGAC